rnacentral:rRNA from 1 species
UACGUAGGGUGCGAGCGUUGUCCGGAAUUAUUGGGCGUAAAGAGCUUGUAGGCGGUUUGUCGCGUCUGCCGUGAAAAUCCGGGGCUCAACCCCGGACUUGCGGUGGGUACGGGCAGACUAGAGUGUGGUAGGGGAGACUGGAAUUCCUGGUGUAGCGGUGAAAUGCGCAGAUAUCGGGAAGAACACCCGUGGCGGAAGGCGGUUCUCUGGGACGGUACUGACGCUGAGACGCGAAAGCGUGGGGAGCGAACAGG